rnacentral:rRNA from 1 species
UACGUAGGGUGCAAGCGUUAAUCGGAAUUACUGGGCGUAAAGCGUGCGCAGGCGGUUUUGUAAGUCUGUCGUGAAAUCCCCGGGCUCAACCUGGGAAUUGCGUUGGAGACUGCAAGGCUAGAAUCUGGCAGAGGGGGGUAGAAUUCCACGUGUAGCAGUGAAAUGCGUAGAGAUGUGGAGGAACACCGAUGGCGAAGGCAGCCCCCUGGGUCAAGAUUGACGCUCAUGCACGAAAGCGUGGGGAGCAAACAGG